rnacentral:rRNA from 1 species
UAACGCGUUAGGAAUCUAUCCUUGAAUGGGGGACAACCGUGGAAACCUACGGCUAAUACCNCAUGAUGCCUGAGGGCCAAAGACGAAAGUCGUUUGAGGAGGAGCCUGCGUCUGAUUAGGUAGUUGGUGGGUAAAGGCCUACCCAAGCCUACGAUCAGUAGCUGGUCUGAGAGGAUGAUCAGCCACAUUGGGACUGAGACACGGCCCAAACUCCUACGGGAGGCAGCAGUGGGGAAUAUUGGACAAUGGGCGCAAGCCUGAUCCAGCAAUGCCGCGUGGGUGAAGAAGGUCUUCGGAUUGUAAAGCCCUUUUGGCGGGGACGAUGAUGACGGUACCCGCAGAAUAAGCUCCGGCUAACUUCGUG